rnacentral:rRNA from 1 species
AUGUCGUGGUCGACGGUGGCGGAGGAGAAGACGACGUGGCGGGCAUCGGCGCGGUGCUGCCGCCUCAGGUUCUACGAGCGGCACCGCCAGCUCGUCGUCGAUGAGUACCUGCCGUACGGCAUGAGGUCACGUUCCGCAACCGUCCUUGCGGGCUCUACUCCAACAAGAAGGAGCUCAGCUACCAGCCUACCAAAGAUCACUGAUUCUAUCUUCAAAUGUCGAUCGACCAGCUCUAGGAGGGACGAGGUGUGGAGCAGUCCAACUUCCCCUGUAUACUCACAUGAUCACUGGACACUCUGUUUCUUAGAGAAGAUGCUGCAACAUGAUUCAGCAAAUUGCUUUUGGAUGUUGUUAUUGUUACUGAAAUUUUGUGUGGGUGGACGUCUGGCUGCAUAUCUGCAUCACCACCCUGAGUUCUCCCAACGCAGCCCGGAGCCGUUCAACUAUGCAGCCCUGGGCCGUUCAACGAUGGAGUCGACGGCCGUUCAUGAACACAGCACCCCGGAUCCUGCUCCCCACCAUCCAGUUCAACUUCUGCUGAAUCCGCGGUCCAUGGGAAGAAAAUUGAGCUAUGAAGCUGAGCUUGUUGUUAUGCCUCUGAUCGUCCACCUCUUUCCUGUAGGUGUUGAUCCUGGUCACCCAGUAAGAACCAAAAUGACGACAAGGACACACCACUCUGCCUCCUCUGUUUUCGGUGACGACACACCGCUGUUAUGGUCGAUUAGCCUUUUGGGUUUAGAUGUACGAGAACUUAAUGGGAGGUCGCGCGAGGUGGCUCGAGCAGGCGGUGCAGCAGUUCGUUGCAGCCCCUCGAUGCCGUUGAACUCCUGCAUCUAG